GCCUUCGUGCUGUAGUGGUCAGCAUGCUUGACGUAUAACCAAGAGGUCCGUGGUUCGAUUCCCGGCGAAGGCG
rnacentral:tRNA from 1 species